GCACCAGUGGGGAAUAUUGGGCAAUGGACGAAAGUCUGACCCAGCGACGCCGCGUGCGGGAUGAAGGCCUUCGGGUUGUAAACCGCUUUCAGCAGGGAAUAAGCGCAAGUGAAGGUACCUGCAGAAGAAGCACCGGCUAACUAUGUGCCAGCAGCCGCGGUAAUACAUAGGGUGCAAGCGUUGUCCGGAAUUAUUGGGCGUAAAGAGCUCGUAGGUGGUUUGUUACGUCGGUUGUGAAAUUCAGGGGCUCAACCCCUGACUUGCAGCCGAUACGGGCAAGCUAGAGUUUGGUAGGGGAGACUGGAAUUCCUGGUGUAGCGGUGGAAUGCGCAGAUAUCAGGAGGAACACCGAUGGCGAAGGCAGGUCUCUGGGCCAAUACUGACACUGAGGAGCGAAAGCGUGGGGAGCGAACAGGAUUA
rnacentral:rRNA from 1 species